AGCAGCUUGAUAUACGAAAGCGAUUGCGCGCCAACAUCGGGAAUUUUCCUGUUCUGUGUUGCAAUAUAUGGAAGUGCUUCCGAUCGCAUGCAAGAUCGGACGAAGUAACAAAGAUUACUGCCUGCAAGUCGCUUUCAGUACAUGUAACAAUCCCACUGACGAUCUGAAAUGGUUGGAUUGAAGUUGAAUUUUCCGUUAAUCCAUUAAGACAUGAGCGAAUUUAGCUGUUGUUUACAAGGAAUAGAAACGGAGCUAUGUGGAAUCGAAGCUUCAGCAGCAAUGCAACGCGCGCGGUGUUGAAGGAGAAGAAAUGGGAUGCGCUCAUCGUCGGCGCCGGCCACAACGGUUUGAUAGCCGCCGCUUAUCUUGCCCGUGGCGGCCUCUCUGUUGCAGUGCUUGAGAGGCGCCAUGUGAUCGGCGGCGCUGCUGUUACCGAAGAGCUGAUUCCAGGGUUUAAAUUCUCUCGCUGUAGUUACCUCCUAAGCCUCCUUCGGCCCUCCAUAAUCAGGGACCUGGAAUUGAGGAGACAUGGGUUGAAGCUAUUGAAACCCAUGGCUGCAUCUUUUACACCCUGCCUGGAUGGUCGUCAUCUUCUACUUGGAAUGGACGAUGAACAUGAUUACUUGGAGAUAUCUAAGUUUUCAAGAAGGGAUGCAGAGGCGUACCCAAGAUAUGAAAGACAGCUUCAUAAGUACUGUAAGUUCAUGGAUUUUAUCUUGGAUUCGCGAACUCCUGAAGCAUUACAUAAGGGUUCAUCAUUUAAUCACCGGUUGAGAGAGAAGGUGCAGAACUCUAUUUUCUGGGGUCGUUGUCUCCAGCAUGCGCUAUCAUUAGGACAAAAAGAUAUGGUGGAGUUGAUAGACCUUCUAGUAUCACCAACUGCUAAGGUCUUAAAUGAGUGGUUUGAGUCGGACGUAUUGAAGGCAACACUUGCAGGAGAUGCCAUCAUUGGGACAAUGACAAGCAUCAAUAAUUCUGGAAGUGGAUAUGUCCUACUACAUCAUGUAAUGGGAGAAACUACUCAUGGUGACCGUAAUAUUUGGUCACAUGUUGAAGGUGGGAUGGGUUCGGUAUCCAUGGCCAUAAGUAACGCUGCCAAAGAAGCUGGAGUUCAUAUUGCAACAAAUGCAGAGGUUUCAGAAUUGAUGAUAGAAGACUCUGGUAGAUUAAAGGGGGUGUUGCUGGUGGAUGGAACACAAGUGCAUUCAUCGGUUGUUCUAUCAAAUUCAACCCCCUAUAAAACAUUCAUGGAAAUGGUGCCUCAUACUUUUCUUCCAGAUGAUUUUCUACAUGCUAUCAAAUGUUCCGACUAUACUUCAGGAACAACAAAAAUAAACGUUGCUGUUGACAAAUUGCCGCAGUUCCAUUCUUGCAACUUGAAUAGUCAAGAGGAGGUGGGUCCUCAGCAUACAGCAACUAUUCAUAUUGGUGCUGCAAGAAUGGAAGAUAUUGGCAAAGCUUGCCAAGAUGCCUGGAAUGGCUUUCCAUCAAGACGACCUAUUAUGGAGAUGACAAUUCCUUCCUCUCUGGACAAAACUGUAUCUCCCCCUGGUAAGCACGUAGUCAGUUUAUUUACGCAGUAUACGCCCUACAAACCUUUAGAUGGGUGCUGGGAAGAUAUUACAUACAGAUAUGACAAGAAUGGCACUCUUAUCUUUGUAGGAUUUAUAUGCCCAAAGAUGUUUUAAGUUGAUUGAUGAAUAUGCACCUGGCUUCAGCUCAUCAAUCAUUGGUUAUGACAUGCUGACACCACCUGAUCUUGAGAGGGAAAUUGGUCUGACAGGAGGAAAUAUUUUUCAUGGAGCCAUGGGUCUAGAUUCUCUGUUCUUGAUGCGGCCUGUAAAAGGAUGGUCAAAUCACAGGACACCAAUUAGAGGACUAUACCUCUGCGGUAGUGGGUCGCAUCCUGGAGGUGGUGUCAUGGGGGCACCAGGUGGCAAUGCAGCACGUGUCGUUCUCGGUGAUCUGCGUGAGCCAUAGCCUUUAGGAUUUUGUCACGGUUUAUGCCCUCACAACACAGGUCUUGAAAUGUAAUCAGUAUCAGACCAUGUCAAGCUACACUAUGUAAAUGCCAUGGUGUUUGAGAAAAUUACGUGUUGUGUGCUGCUUU